rnacentral:rRNA from 1 species
CUACGGGACGCAGCAGUGGGGAAUAUUGCACAAUGGAGGAAACUCUGAUGCAGCAACGCCGCGUGGAGGAUGACACUUUUCGGAGCGUAAACUCCUUUUAUAUAGGAAGAAGAUGACGGUACUAUAUGAAUAAGCGCCGGCUAACUCCGUGCCAGCAGCCGCGGUAAUACGGAGGGCGCAAGCGUUACUCGGAAUCACUGGGCGUAAAGAGCGUGUAGGCGGAUUAAAAAGUCAGAAGUGAAAUCCUAUAGCUUAACUAUAGAACUGCUUCUGAAACUCUUAAUCUAGAAUAUGGGAGAGGUAGAUGGAAUUUCUGGUGUAGGGGUAAAAUCCGUAGAGAUCAGAAGGAAUACCGAUUGCGAAGGCGAUCUACUAGAACAUUAUUGACGCUGAGGGACGAAAGCGUGGGGAGCGAACAGGAUUAGAUACCCUGGUAGUC